UACGUAGGUGGCAAGCGUUUGUCCGGAUUUACUGGGCGUAAAGGGCGUGCAGGCGGUUUGUCUAGUCUAGGGUGAAAGCUCCCGGCUUAACUGGGAGAGGUCCUUGGAUACUGGCAAACUUGAGGGAGGCAGAGGAAAGUGGAAUUCCCGGUGUAGUGGUGAUAUGCGUAGAUAUCGGGAGGAACACCAGUGGCGAAGGCGGCUUUCUGGGCCUUACCUGACGCUGAGACGCGAAAGCGUGGGGA
rnacentral:rRNA from 1 species